rnacentral:sRNA from 1 species
ACGGGCACCGACGCCCGUGGUUCCAUACAGAAGCGACGUUUUAAAGCAGGACUAUUUGCAAAGCUUUAAAACUCGCAGGUUUCAUUUUGCCAUGGACGGCAAAAUGAAACCGUUG